rnacentral:rRNA from 1 species
UACAGAGGGUGCAAGCGUUAAUCGGAAUUACUGGGCGUAAAGCGCGCGUAGGUGGUUCGUUAAGUUGGAUGUGAAAUCCCCGGGCUCAACCUGGGAACUGCAUUCAAAACUGACGAGCUAGAGUAUGGUAGAGGGUGGUGGAAUUUCCUGUGUAGCGGUGAAAUGCGUAGAUAUAGGAAGGAACACCAGUGGCGAAGGCGACCACCUGGACUGAUACUGACACUGAGGUG